rnacentral:lncRNA from 1 species
AUGGCCUCCUUGCUCUCACGGUGCUGUCCUGACUGCCCAGUUUUCGCCUUCACAACGUCGACGUCCGUCAGGAGGCGGCUAAACCUUCAGUGGGGCCUCAUCCCAUUCCGCCUCAGCUUCUCAGACGACAUGGAGAGCAACCUGAACCGCACCUUCUCCCUGCUAAAGGCCAGGGGCAUGAUCCAGUCUGGCGACCUGGUGAUCGCCCUCUCUGACAUGCUGCAGUCCAUCCAGGUGAUGAACGUACCCUAAGAAAGAGCCUAAUCCUCUGUGGGAUGAUCAUAUGAGAUGGAAGAUGGACCAUGAACUUUAUCGGCACCUUGAAGGACAGUUCCUUGCACCAAAAUUAUUCGCUUUCACCCUGUAUUAGAUGCUGGGCAGGACUAGAGAACUGUGGCAAUAAUUUGCAGCUUUGUGCCCUGCUGUAAAACUGUUAUAUUACUAUUAGCUUUAUUUAUAGUCUGACCUUGGGGUGACUCUUUAAUGUGCAAGCUUUGGGUCUUGCUGUGGGCCGUAAUGGGCUUAUAAGUGAAGCGCAGGGAGAAGAGGAAGAACCCGCUGAAGAACAUGGCUGCUGUGCUCAAGCUCAACCCCUACCUCGGCACUGCCCGCAAGAUGGCUACCCUCGCUAAGGUUGCCCACAUCAAGGCAAGGAAGGAGAAGCUCGAAUCCAAGAGGACCAAGCUUAGCCCGGUAUGACCAUUUUUCUCCCUCCAUUUCAUUUCUGAUUAUGUCAAUAAUACCUGAAUUGAUCACUUAGAUUGCACAUGUAGUUCUGGUGUACUGUUUAUGACUUGUAGUGUUUGCUAUGGUACAUUUUCUGCCCCUUGUAUGAAUGGUUUAAUUUGUUUGAUGUAUCAUAAUUUGAGCAAAUUUCAUUGCUUGAAAGUAUUAGUACUGGAGUUCUGUGUGAAUAACAUGAUUCUGCUGUAGUGAUUCUUGUUGUUGUUUAGUUAUGUGCAUUGAUCUAAUGUUGUGCCAACAAAUAUUCUUGUAAUUGCGCGUUUGUGCUGUAUCAGUAUGCAUGGGUAAUCUAGUUUGUCAUUGUUUACUAUUUGCUCAGGGUGUUUCGGUACCCUUAAUUGCUUUUAGUAAGGCAUUUGUCUAUGUUCUGUUCCAUUUCUUUAUAUGCUAGUAGAUAUCUGAGCAAUUGUUUGUUCUACUCUUUUCUUAGAAAUGAUUUAUGGUACUGGAAGCUUCGGUAAUCUUUGCAUAUAUGGCAUAUGACAUGCCCUGGUAACUCAUGGGUCAGGGUUUAUCUUGAAUGUUUUAGUUCGAUCCCUCUUGUUGAUUUGUGUUCUGAAUUGGUAACUUGGGACUAUGCCUUGUUAGAAUGUGAUGAAUAGAUUGAUGUUUUACUAAGCGUUUUGAUUACAGAAUACUAGAAUGAAUGUUAUUACAUUAUCCAUGUUUCGAACUGAAUCCCAAAAUUUACUGAAUCCCUUCACAUCCAUAUAUCUCCUGAAUAUUUGUUUAACUGUAUAGUUUGAUAUGUUUACAUUGUUGUCAAGAUUCUUUGUUGCAUGCCCAUAUAUCUUCUGAACACUACAGAACUGACCAAUAUGUGAACUACUGUUGGUUUAAUGUAUCAGAUGCUGAUUAUUUCGUUCAGCUGUAUGCCCUUUUGUCAACAAACACGUACUGAACAAUAUCUGUAGAUCCAUUGUUGUAGGAGGAGGCUGCCAAGGUCAAGGCUGCUGGAAAGGCAUGGCACAGGACCAUGAUCUCAGACAGCGACUACACCGAGUUUGAGAACUUCUCAAAGUGGCUCGGCGUGACUCAGUGAGCGGGUGCUAUCUAGUUAAGUUUUGAGUAGUAGUGUGGCUGAACUUAUCUCGAGAGGGUUUAUCACUUUGUUUUAUCCUGCAUCAUCAUAAGAAUUCAAUCUGUGGGAUUUUAAGACAAGUCUUCCUUUUUGUUAAUGCGUUGCUGUGAAAUCAUUCUAGUAAAUAUUCACCUUGACGAUCUUUUGGAAGGACAGCGACCACAAAAAUUAUGAAUUGGGUAGAUGGAGGAUUUAUGUGCUGUAUUGAGAGAGCCCGUAGGUGCUAGAUUUCUCCGGAAACGUUCGAUUUAAGCUUGUAGAUAUUGUGAUGAAUCCCGUCACCAUUUUCCCAUGAAACAUUCUGAAAGUUCUGGUAGUGGUAUCCACUGCUGCAGUUUUACAAGCAUGUAGGGUUGUUCCUCUGUUUGUUGAUUAGGUAUUAUGUUUUGCACAGUCUUAAAGUUUAGAAGGUAAUUACCCAGGUGUUCAAGUAUACCUUCAAGUUUUUUUUUACACAGUGUACAUAUUACCUUGUUAUAGUGAGAACAGAGAAGUCCACCGCAAAAGUAAAGCCCAGCAUAUAUUGUUCUUGCAAUAGACCAUGUGUGUAUAUGCCCCUUUGUAGGUUGAUUAUUCCAUUCAGAACAUAGCAUGGACCUCUAUAGUGUUUUGGAUAAAUUUUUUUAUUAUAAAGGUACUUGCCGAGGCACCAAUUUGGGAGUCUGCGGGGUAAAAUGUUCCCGGCGUACUUCAUAUUGAUAUCAGUGUGUUCAGCGAUAUCUGUUGCAGCAUUUGCAUACCUGCAUGGAUUCCUUCUUUCGGCCCUUAUCUGUAACCUUUCAAACCUUCUGGUCAUCACACCUAUGAUGGUUGAAGUAAAAUACUUUGUUUGUGGCCUUGAGCUUUUUACUACCUCUCGUUUUGCAUUUGCCAGAUGCUAGUGUGCUAGUUAUACAGAAUAUCACAAAAUUAUAGUUUGAGUAUGUGAUAAUAUCGGUACUAAUGAAUGGAAUCUUACACUUUUGAUAUGCAAUUUUGAGAUUUACUUUGCUGAUGGUAGUAGAGGUAUGUAAAGCAAAAGAAAGUUACUUUUAAAUUAUUAGUUAUAUGGUUAUAUUUUAUAGGUCAGCGAUUUCUGAGUACUAGUCAUAGCAGCGCUCACAGGAAUAUACUGACUUGUUCUUUAUUUUAUUUUCAAGAAUUAAUACAGAUAGCAUAAAGCAGAAUCCAGUCCAUGAAUAGUUAGCGAUCUAGCAUCUGGAGGUGAAAAUCUAGCUUGGUUAGAACUUAGAAGCAUAGUUGUGGAUAAAAUUUGUGGGAAUCUAAUUUGACAAAACAAGUAGACAUGUCUGGCUGCAUAUAUGAACCUUUCAAACUGCAUCUUAUUGUUUCUGAGAUCUGAUUGGUGUUUUUUCCACAUUUGCAUUGUAGCACACAUCACUUGGAUAUUGUUUUAGAGAGCAAACUUGACAAUCGAGAUAUCUUGAUUGCUGAAAUCGAUGCUGACAAUGUUCUGUUAUUUGAGUAGGAUAGGGGUUAUACAUAAAAAAAAUAAGAAGAGAGAAUGUGCCUUGCAGGCUUGUACUUUGGUUGGUUGAGCAUUGCUCUUUGUAGUUUGCGCUUUAAUUUUCACCUGUGCCUAUUGAAUUGCUCUCUUUCACCUAGAUGAUGAUGAAGAGGUACAAGAUAGAAGGACCUCGUGAGGCCGGGUACUCCAAGAAUGAGGAGAUGGCCAAGAGGAACCCUGCCCUGGCGGCAAUCAGUCAGAAGUUCAGGAUGAUCCACGUGCUGUCGUCACUGGCCAGCCCCAUGUCCUUCGGCAGCCUGGCCAUCCACUCCUGAUACCUCCCCAGCAAGCUCGACCCGUGACUGCCUGACCGAGUGUUAGCUGGUGCCUGGUGAGUGGUGACCUACGAACUCUGAACUUAGCCUAGGUUUCUGUGGAGAAAAAAGAAGUCAUGUCUGUGCAAGAACAUUGGUCCUCGGGAUGAUAUGAUUAGCCUUUAAUAAUGUACAUAAUGCAGGAAGUUCGUUUCAUUUUGUAAUUUGUGUAUAGGAAAUGUGUCUGUGGCAAAUUCCUGAUAUUUUACAGUCAAGAAAUGCAGCUAAACAUGGUCUCUCGGCUCAUGGAGCUUGGGUACAAAGAAAUGACUAGGAUCUUCUGGAACUUUUAGAAUGCCUACUAUCUGAAAAAAAAAUAUUGGCCAGAGAUGACGAGUUUGGUAUGCAUUCCUGAACACUGGUUUCUCUUGUCUGGUGGUCCAAAACCAUAUGGCGUUCCUUCAUCUAGGCCAAAUCUAUUAUAUUCACUUUCUGAAGAUAAUAUCCAGUGAAGCCAAGCCGAAGUCUAGAAAACAAGUCCACAUUGCAAACUGAAGAAUUUAGCAUAUGGAACUCCAUGCUCUAGUCUUUCAUCCUUCUUCAAGCUGAAGUCCUUGAUUUUGAUCACAAAACAAGUCCCAGACUGCAAGUUGAAGAAUAUAUAGCAUAUUGAUCGAGCUCCAUGCUCCAGCUUUUUAUCCUUAUAUUUUCUUUUGAACUAUGGCGUGUUUGAACUCUGUGUCCGCUCCAGCGUAAGCAAAACACAUACACAGCUAGCACUUUCAUUUCAUGACGUGUUUGUCUACAUUACUGCAGAAGUACUUGCCAUAGAAUAGGUCAACAAUCCAACAUACUACUACUCAUGUUGUUGUUCGACAAGCUGUCUAAGCUGCUGCUUGAAUACGAACUGAAAGUGCUGAACUUUGUCCAUGUUAUGUUGGUAGUAUAUCUAAUACUGAACGGUGUGCAGGGUGAUCCUGCAAGGCUUUUAGAUAGCACGGUCUUGUGCAGAGGUUACGUCUGCUCUGUUUCUUCAAAGUUACGUCUGCUCUGUUUCUUCAAAGUUACGUCUUGCAAUUGCCGUAACAUUUCUGCUGGUAAUUCUGUAAUCUCUACUAUAAAAAAAGCAAAGAGGACACAAAAAUGCGGUCCGUCGUUUGGCCGCCGGGCGAUGUCCCUCGCUCCAGACAUUUUGGGCCGUCCGCUUGCAGCACCCUCCGCGCGCAGCCGUUGAUUUGGAGAUUCCGUGAGUUGCGGUGCACGCGCUUCCUCCUCUGUCCGUUUCCCUCCGCGCGGAUCCCUUCCUCCUGCGGUCCUGCCCAUGCGUCGCCAUCCGCCGCCGACGCAACUCCCUCAGUCGCGCCGCCUGCCGCCGCCGCCGCCACUCCCUCCGUCGCCGCAACUUCUCCCUCCCUGCGUCGCCAUCCGCCGCCGCCCCUCCCUUUCUUCACCUCCGCGCCGCCAGAAACCCCCGUCCCUGCCUGCGUCGCCAUCCGCCACCGCCCCUCCCUUUCCUCGCCUCCGCGCCGCCGGAAGCCACCGCCCCUCCCUUUCCUCGCCUCCGCGCCACCAGAAGUCACCGCCCCAUCUUGAGUCGCCUCAUCGCCGCAAGCGACUCCGCCCCUCCCUGAGUCGACGGAACACCAACAGUCGAGGCUACGCUGCACGCCAACUAGAUUUCUCAGUUCGUUGGGUUUGAUCACGGUACCUCUCAGUUUCUUAGUUUGUCGUGCAUCUGAACUUUGUGUGACGUUCAUGUUCUUGUCAUUUGAUUUGUUUGGUCGGUGUUCAUGUUCUUAGAAUCUGGUGCUACGUGACAUUAUAGGCGGUGUUGUGUUUUCUGAAUUGUCGGCGACUUGAAAAUUUGAGAUUCAGAUCGUGAUUUGUUUAGGUGGACAAUUAAAAUUUGAUGAUAUGUCCUUCCCGAGAGCGAAUUGCGCGCGCACAGCGGCGGCAAUGGCACCGCCGCGUUCGCACCUGCUGCCCGCCUUGCUCGUCCUGAAUUGUCGGCGACUUGAAAAUUUGAGAUUCAGAUCGUGAUUUGUUUAGGUGGACAAUUAAAAUUUGAUGAUAUGUCCUUCCCGAGAGCGAAACGUAUUAACUGUGGUAAUUGAGGAUGGUAGAGAUAAUUUACUCUGCAUGUAAACUGAGGACUGAGAUUCAAGAGUAAUCAUAGAACACGUAGACCACAUUGACUGGAAAAUUAGUCCUCUCCAAUUUUUGCUGAUCUGUCCCUGAUAGUACAUAAUUAUUUUGCCACUUUUUGUGCAAGCUUAUCGAUGUACGAAUUCAUAAUGGAAAGUAAGGAUUGCGAUAGUAGGGAUUGGGAUAUUUGUUAUGCUUAUCGAUGCUUAUGGCAAUGCUUCAUAAAAGUAGUAUACACCGCCGUGCACUUCGAAUUCAUGAUGGACAGUAGGGAUUGUGAUAUGUGAUAUGCUUAAGGCAAUGCUUCAUAAAAAGAGUAUGCACCUCCGAGCACUUCAAGUGUACUCUGAUGCACACACAAGCACACAGUUCUAGAUGGUUAAGCCGGUCUGUGAUUAGCAAGAUUUUCAUGAGAAUGGUAUCAGUUAUCAGACAUUCUGUGAUAUCUUGAAUGGAAAAAUAAAAUCAAAAAGGAAAGCACGAUAAAUAGAUAAUUUUUCUUGAAUUCUCCCAUAUUCAGAAAAUUGACUGACCGAGUGUGGAUAACUCCUUUUUUUUGUUACUUGGACCUCAGUUGGCCUUUAUAUUACUCUGAAUAUGUAAGAUUUCAAUAAACAGUAAAUUUGAGGAGGAUUUGCUAUCAUCUUUUGAAUCGUUCAUCCCGGUGGCAGAUUUCUUGAUUGCCUUAAUUGGGGCUGCCCCAGUUAAUGAGAACUAAAUAGCUCUCAUGAUGAAAACAAGUGUUAUUCAUAACAGCUACUUGUAGUGAUGGUGUCUGGCAGAGUACCUUGCUUAUCCAGUGCUUUCCUGUGACAUUCCAUUUUGCUUUUCUCUUGAAGGGUGUUUAUGUUCGUCGGGUUGUGCCUACUGCUCCAGCAAGCAGUGUUUUGUGAAAGGUAACAUGUAGUAAUUAGAUCCAGUUCACAUAUUGAAUACCUUUGGUUGUCCUCCAAUUUUUGCUGAUCUAUCCCACAUAAUUUUUCUUCUUUUUUCCACACAAUUUUUCUUCUUCUUGCCACAUAAUUUUUGCGGCUACCAUGUUUGACAAUAAAAAUUGGUAUACAGUCAUCUACAAAAAUCAUCCCCUGGAUACAAAUAGUACAUCCCCCUGGUACAAAUAGUACAUCCCCCUGGUUAGCAAUUUUGCAGAUGUAGAAGUACAGUUCCAUUACCGGUUAACCACUAUCUACGUUUUUAUUUUCACUAGGAGUUACAUUAAAAUAAUUCAUUCAUAUGUUCUGUAUAAAGGAAUAGACAAAAAUGGCACCACUUUGUUUUACCUAUGUACAAAUAACUGUCUGAUUGGAUAUUACAACAACAAACAAGAAAAGGCUUCAUGAUCAUUUGAAUUAGAACUACAACCUAAAAAAUAAAUGAUCUGUCCAGUUAUUAAUAUUCUGGUUUCAUACUGCAAAAUAGAAAAGUGAUUAAAACAAGUCCAAGUAAUCUGUCCUGCUGCACUUUCUUAUCUAUAAUCCUGAUGCCAAUUUGUUUCAUGUGCCUGGAAGUGAUGGGAGAAGGUGCAGGAGAAGGAUUUAGAAGUUCUUAAUUUGCAGGUGCAAUUUUUUUAUGUGACGCAUCUAUGUGACGCUUGACUUAUCUUAUUUCCAAAAUCUAACACUUCAUACUCGUGCUAAUGAUUAGAACCUGAUGAUUGGGAAGCUGAUGAGGAUGUCGAUCUCGAGACAGCUAAUGAAGAUUCCAACAAACCCGAUGUACCGGAUCCAAACGAUGCGGUUUAUGCCAAUGUCCCUGACGAGACACACAUGCUCAAGCUAGAGGAUAACUGCAAGCACUGCAAUGCAAAGAAGUUUGAGUCCGAGCCACCUGGAUUCUGUUGUCAUAGUGGAAAGAUUCAUCUUUCCACCCCUGAGACACCACCGGAACUCGUGAGACUGUGGUUGAGCUCGGACGCUGAUGCUAGGCAUUUCCGUGCAAACAUCAGAUAUUUCAAUGAACACUUCUCUUUCACUUCUCUGCACUGUAAACUUGAUCGUGUGACCACCGACAUGACAAACUGUGGAAUUUACACAUUUCGUGCCCAUGACCAAAUCUACCAUAACAUAUGAUCAUUUGGUAAAGAGGAUGGUCACGAACCUGGACACCUCGAGCUUUAUUUUUACGACGUCGAUCUGUCUCUUGAGCAUAGGCUCCGCAAGUGCCGUGAGAAGUCUGCCCAAUACAUGGCAUUAAUCCCUGCUUAGAGAAUCUUAGGAGUAUAGGCCAGGUUGACAACCUUGAGGAUUACUCUGUCGAGUUGAACCUUGACCAACGGCUAGACCAGAGAACAUAUAAUGUGCCAUUAACGUCGUUGCUGCCGUUUGGAUUGAGGGGAGCGAGCGUCGGGUCCAGUUCGAUAAUAGUGCUGUCCUCCAAAGGAAGGAUAGGUCGAUCCAUGGUAUUCGGCCCUAUCGUGUGUGCUACGAUGCUCUCUCAUACCUGCUAUUCUUUCCAAGAGGUGAGCUCGGGUGGCACAACUGCAUUCCAAAAGUUGGUGUGACUGAGGUUGAAGUAAAUAAAGCUCGAGCGAUCUGCAAGGCGCGUGCUGAUGGUGGUGGCGACAAUGAUGCUGGUAAAUUCAUAUGUCAUUAUAGUGUCUUACAAACAUUAGACAAAAUUUCCGCAUGUCGUCAAUCACGGCCGCCUUUUUUUGGUUCGUCGUUUGGCUUCGUUUGUCUGCCACGCCGCUCAGUUUUUCACAAGAACAGUCCGUCUCCCCGCCCACGUUCGCCGACAGACGCACCUCACCUCCUCCGUGCUGAACCCGGCCGCACCUCCUCCAUCCGCCCUCCGCCACUUAGCCAAGCCGUGCCUCACCUCCUCUGUCCUCCGAGCGCGGAACCACGCCUGCGCUUUCCCCGCCUGGCCGCACCUCCUACCUGCUACGCUCGGCCGCAGCUCCUCUGUUCGCCGCCAAGCCGGGCCACCUCCGUCCGCUGGGCGUCCAACACCGGCGCGCCACUGCCCAGCUACCCCUCCACACCCCUCCACACCGGCGCCAUCCCCGGCUGCUCCUCCAUGAAGGGAUCUCCAAGUUAGUCCCAUAUGCAGCGGAGGUGAGAAGAUGGAGGCACGAGAGGUGGGGCCUAUGUCGAGCCCGGUGUCAUCUGCCUUCAUGAAGGGAUCUCCAGGUUAGUCCCUUAUGCAUGCAAACAAAUCUAAUCAGCAGCCUCUCCUUUGCACCAACGAACAGAUCCAAUUGUUCUUGAAAAUCAGGUCCAAGUUCACAUCUCUUUUGCCCUCCCACUCAAAGCACAAUCAGCCAGCGCGACAGGGAUGGCGACACAGACACCGACGGCUGGAGCUCCCUCAAUGCUGCCAGGUAAUUGACUAGCCAAUUACUAUUUGGAUGUGAUGCACAUUGGUCACGGAUUUGUAAAUCUAUCAGUUCCUGCUUCCUGCAUCCAUUUGUGCAGUUCUUGUGGUGGAUGCAGUGCACUGAGUAUAGAAAUUAUUUUUGAUUACUUCUGUGAAACGUUUUGGCCUUGGCAAGUAUGUACAGAUUUAGUUGUUGUUUUUUCAGUCAGAGGUGAGCUACGUGUAUGGGAAAGAAACACUUGAUUGCUUGUUCUAGAUCUUGCCUUCAUAUAAACUGUGAUGCUAUCAACAUGGAGAUUUGAUGCUUUCUACUCUCUCUAUUUAACAUGGAAAAGAACUCGUGUUUACUCAAUAAUGCUUAUGAAUUUUCCUUAGAGUUGCAUUUAUUCAUCAUUCUAAAGUAUUCCGUGUCAAGUAAACUCAUACUUCUAAUUUUUCAAAAAAAAAAUCUGAAAUCAAUGAACCCCUCCUUCCUUGUGAAAUUGUUGUACCUUUUUCCUUAUGACAUCUUAUCUACUUCCACUUUCCUGGUGCAGAAUUUUUGAAAGUAGGAAACGUAAGCAAUGACAGUGACAGUCGCAGCAAUACUGAGCUCAAUAGGUGAACUAGACAAACCAUUCUGCUGUAGUUCAUUUUAUCACUGCAGUCAUCAUCAGACAAUGAGGUCAGAACCAGCAGGUUCGCAGAGUGACUUGUGACUUGUGGAUAAUCCUGCAGAUUCAACAAUGGUAAAGUAACGAAUGGUUAAGGUAUAAGUAGAUUUACUCAAUUAUACUCCAAUAGCUAAUGCAUUGCAUAUAUUGCUUGGCCGUGUAUAUAAAUAUUACAUCACUGUUCAACAUAAGUAAAUAGCUUAGUCCUUCUUAAGUCCAUUUUGGUAAAAGCUAUAGUUCAAUUAGUUUUCUUGAUUUUCUUAAAAUUUUACUCAGUUUGUGCCUUAUGUUGUACAUUUGCCUCACGGGCUGGCUAACUGACCUACAUGAGGCUGGCUAACUGAUCUGGAGGUUCACUAUCUAUGUUCUUUCAUUUCAUUGUCAAACAUAGAUAUUCUGAAUCUGAAAGUCUGUUGAAAUUUCCUAUGGAGUCUUGUGGUACCUUUAGUGUUUCUUAUCAUGUCCAGUAGAAGGUCUUGGAAAACAUAUUUGCAAUACAUGAUAUUUUUUAAAUCAAAAGUAGUAAUAUGCUGUGUAAUUGCCUUCUUGCCUCCUGACAUGUGGCAAAUUCAUUGAGCGUUUUCACUUACAUCGCUGGCAUAUUCAGUGAACAACGCAAAGAUGAUGGUUUUGAGUGAGCGGUCCUUUGGUCAAGGUAAUUUUAGAGCAUUGAUUUUCAAUGUACUUGUAAAGCCAAGAGAAAGUUGAGCAGGGCACAUUCAGUUGUUAACUGGACUGUUGGCUUGCUGCUAUGGAAACAUGUUUUCAGCCUUAUUACUUGCCGAGUUUACAUUGGGAUCUGAAAACUGGACUGUGUGCCAUUAGUUUUGUCUGUCUCCAGGACAUUGCCCAUGCACAUGAACUGACUGAUUACCAUGAAAAUUCACCUGUUUCAGUUCCAAACUAAUUAUUGCUUCAAGGUCACAAAGCUAUAUGAAAAUCUGUAUCCAAUUGAAUGCCAGAACUCUCUAGGAUGAUGUCAGGCAUUCCCAUUUAUAGGUUAACCUGAAGUGAUUCUUGAAGAUUAGUUUCUGCGUGGUUGAUUUGAAUUGUUUGUAAUAUUGUAUGCUUCAUCUUGAUUACUAUCAAUUUCACAGGUCAUGUUCAUUGUGAGGAAUGGAGCGCAAUAAUGCUUUGUGGUAACUCUGGGCAGACGAAAAUAGGCCACCUCUCCCAUUUUCUUGAUAUUUAUUUUCUGAUAUCUGACUAUUGUAUUUGUCGUGAAAUUUAAAUUGUAGACGCUAACAGAUCAUGUGUCACCUCAUGCUUUGAUCAUGUGAAAAAAUUCAGUGUAUUUACCCAUGAUCGGUGCCUUGCCCCGAGGGGUCUUUAAUUCCUGAAUUAGGCAACGGUGAAUUUUCUUCUUAAUAUAUAGAUGCACAGCUCUCCCGCAUGUUCGAGAAAAAUGAGGCAACAGUGACACAGCGCUGGUAGAAAGUAGAAAGUGAAGAAGCGGUUUGAGCAUAUUGCUACUGACAGCUACCUCCGCAAGAUUUGGCCGGUACUGCAAGCUCUGAGUUUCACAACUCUGAACCACUUGGUAAAAAACAGUCUGAAUUUUGUGUUGUGAUUAACUGACUAGACAUCCGAAUAAAUUAAUGUACUGAUAUUCUGAAAUUUGUUUUAGCACCGGGACUCUCUGGACUAUCCGGUGGAAUCAGGCCUUGGCAGGACUGAGGCAGAUGUGGGGGGUGACACCGUGCAGGUGAGGUGGUGGCGGUACCUGGCUCUGGCAUCUCCCUUUAUCCGCUUGAUGGAAUGGCAGCAUGGGUAUGGAGACACCAUCAGCAUCUAAACAAGGCCCAAAAGGUACAAAGAUAUGAUUUAAUCACUUUUGAUUUGUUUAUUUGCUAUCAUAUAAAUUGCAGUAACAGGUCUUGAGUAAUAUGUCAAUGCUAUAAUUUUGCUUGCUUGUUGUGUGUCCUCUCUAAAAUCUUUUCUUUACCAUAUAUAUCCAUAUGCACAAGAUAUUUGCAGUUACAAGUAUAAUCCUCAAGGAGUGAAAAGCUUGGGAUUCUGUUCGUGCAGGCAACAGGCAUUGAUCGCUAAUCAGCAUGGCCUCCACAAGUACCCAUCAUGGGAAGUGCAGCAAUCAGUAUUGUGUUCAAACCUGAAGAAAAUAUAUGGGGAUGGCUGGGUGGCUGCACAGCUCAUGGCAGGGACCAAUUUGGAGUCUGCAUCUUCUUUCCCACAUAUAUAUGAUAUUUCCAUAUAUUGUCAGGAUGCUAUUAAACUGCCUUCACCAGAUUACAAUAAACUAUGAACUUCAGAACUUUAAUUUUCGAUAAGUUGGAGUCGACGCUUAAAACUUCAGAGCUUUAUUUACUCCCAAGUACCAACAGCUCUAAAUUUUUGUGCACUGCACCCUUAGUUUUUUAGUGAACAAUACUGAUUGCUGAGGUUAUAAUGCAUCUUGCUAUGUGGGACUAUAGUUUUGUCAAGUAAGGCUAUGUACACAUUGAUAAAUCUGCUUCAGAAUAAUAUUGCUAAUAUCUCACUAUCUGAACAGAGUCAGGUUUAUCAGUUAUUUAUAGAAGACUUGCUUGUUAGAAAAGACCUAAAUAGGUUUUCUUUGUCUAUGUGAAUUUUCGGGGAAUUCUGCUUAUCUUCCACGGAUAGAUGCUACUUCUCCUGUAAUAUCGAAUUGGGUCAUGUGUGUGUGAGCUCUUUGCUUGCCAAAGGAGCUUGUGACUUGCAACUACUACUACUUAUUCAAUGAUCUCUAAUAACUGAAUCAUUUUGUUCAGAUUCUAAUUAUCAGGUCUUUUCCUCAUCUCUUUAUGUUUUGAGGUGUUGGAUGAGAAAGGGUUAAUGGUGGUUGCUACCAUUCUACAAGAAAUUAGAGCUUGCCAUUAUGAGUGCUGUAGUUGAAGUGGGGUUAAUGUUAAACCAUGAUGGUACCUAGGAGACUUCAUCCAUUUGAAUAUUCUACACUCAAGAAACAGAAAGGUGACAGUUGUCAAAUACAUAUUAUGAACCAGCUGAAAUUAAAAUAUUCUUGUAUUCCUCAGAUUAUUUGUGUCAUGCAAACUCCACUUUAGAAAAUUCCAUUCUAAAUUGUUGUUUGAGAUUAUGUACCAUUCUAAUAUGAUCUCAUGGGGAAUUAUUUAGCCCGUAGCAACGCACGGGCACGAUUCUAGUGGAAUUGAAAAGAAUAGAGAUCGCGUAUGACAAGAGUACUCUAGGUAAUAUUUCUUCAAAUACCGAUUCAACUCCCUCAUUUUCACUUCAAUAUUUUCACCAAUGGUAUAGAAAUAGAACUUGAUGAAGCAUGCAUGGCAUUAGCUAUUUCAUUAAGUAGCUCAUUUGAAUACCACGUCUCAUCGAGCAAAACAUCUCGAAUUGCUAGCAACAUCUUCAAGAAAAGGUGGGCUGUAGGAUGCCUCACUUAAAGCAUCAUGAAUGUCCUUUACUGCUUUGUUAUUCACACUAGCAUUGUCUAAUGUCAAGGUAAACAGCUGUUCAAUCAACUCCCACUUCAUCAACCACAACUUCUUGUCCUAGAUCCAUAUCACCUAGAUGACACAACUUCUUAGCCUUCGGCCUAGUAUCUUCCAAGUGAACAAAAGAGCCUGGAAUGUGAAUAAGAUCAACAAAUUUGAAUAGAAUACCAACUUGUUUUGGUUUACUGACUGCUUGUAUUUUUAAUACUACAAUGAGUAGGUUUGAAGAAAAUAUGAUUCUGAAUAUGAUGCAGUUGUUUUGGCUCACAGCUAACUGUAUUUUGUUCCCAUGAUAAAACAAUUCUGAUCAGAAAUCUUGUUUUUUCACUUCAGAUUAGAAGUAAUGUAAGAUGUCAGAUUAAUGGACGAUGAGGAGCAUAAGUUUUAGGCUUUGAGGACACGCAGUGCCCCUCCAAUUGCAUACUGAUACUGCUAAAACGAAAGGGGACUGAGGUGACUGGGAUAUCAUCAGUAUCAGAUAUACUAGCAGCUAUGUUCAUGAGCUUCUAUGUGGUGAAACAAGCUGGAGAUGACUAAGGUAUUGGAGCUUUUUUUCACAGAACAGUAGGACCAUUUUCACGAGAUUCAACUGCCUGAUCUUAACUGAAUGGUAAACAUAAGCAAUACCAGUAUGCAACCAACAAAAGAUCUUGCACUCCCAUCUUACAUUCUCUAAAACAGUAACAAUUCUAAGUUCACAGAUCUAGUGGUACUAAAAAGCUCAAUGAACGAAUUUAAUUUGCCAAUGCCAUCCUCCUGCCCUACAAAACCCAAAAACUCAAGCAGAUUGAAGCUGCAAAGGAGAGUUUAAAAAUAGCCAACACUAGCAGAAUACUGCACGAACUAGGCACAGCGCAGUAUAAACAAAAAGACAAAUAGGAAAGGCAAACACAUCAGAUGAAAAUCACCUGCACGCCGACGCCACCUGCGUCCGCUGCUGAGGCCGCCUGCUCUUGCUGGCCGCCGCGCGUCGGCCUAGCCGCACGCCCUGCCGGAGCCCGCCGGGGGCCGGCCCCACGGGAGCGCCUCGCGGCGGCGCGCCGCUCGCCCGUCCCGCCGGCCGCCGCCCGCCCGGAUCCCGCGCGGGCCCCGCCCACCCCCACACGAGCCUGGACAGGCCACACGAGCCUUGCGCCGCCCACCCCCGCACCGCCCGGAUCUUGAGUUCUUGCGCCGCCGCCGCCGCACGAGCCUGGAGAGGCCGUGAAAAAGAGGAGAGGCCCUUUCCUGCGAUCCACGGGCUCGGCCCUUCCAAUUGACUCAAGGAUCGAUUAUGGGCCACGUUCACAGGUCAGCCCUUUUAUGGAGAUGGCCCGAUCUGAUCCUGCCCAUUCUUCGGGAAGGCCUUUUAAGGCUCGGCCUAUAUGAGCUUCUAAGGCCCGAUCGGUUUGGCCCUUGGAUUUUUACAGCCCUUUACCAGGCUUAAGUAUAGGUAUAAGGUUUUCUACGUAUCUAAAAUAUUUUCCACUAGAAAAGGUUUUCUACGUAUGUAAAAUAUUUCCACUUGACUACCCGAUAAGGCAAUCAUUCGUGUGGCACAUGCCCGGGGCCUACUCGGAAAGUGAGUGCGCAUCCUCUCACAUGAUUGGACACAUCCACUUGACUCCUCAAAGGUCGUCAAUGCUUGCAGCUUGCAUUUUCCACAGAAGCAGCAGCUCUUGAACCCACUGUCCAGCAUCUCCCUCUCCACCCACCAACACUGUGUUUCCCUGUCUACUGCGCGUGUGUUUUGGAGCUCCCGGCGUAGCCAUGGCUGAGGUACUGGCCACCAUGGUGGUCGGGCCACUGCUGUCCAUGGUGAAGGAGAAGGCCUCCAGCUACCUCCUGGACCAGUACCAGGUGAUGGAGGGCAUGGAGGAGCAGCACGAGGUUCUCAAGCGCAAGCUGCUAGCCAUCCUCGACGUCAUCACCGACGCAGAGGAGCAGGCGGCGAAGCACAGAGAGGGGGCGAAAGCUUGGCUUGAGGCGGUCCGGAAGGUGGCCUACAAGGCGAAUGAUGUCCUCGACGAGUUCAAGUACGAGGCGCUUCGCCGCAAAGCCAAGGCGGAGGGCCACUACAAGGCGCUCGGCAUGGAUGUAAUAAAGCUCUUCCCUUCUCACAACCGUGUUGUGUUCCGUUAUAAGAUGGCAAAAAGGCUCUGCAUGAUCUUGCGAGAAAUUGAUGUCCUCGUCGCAGAGAUGAAUGCGUUCAGGUUCAAAUUCAAACCGCAGCCGCAAAUGCCCAUGCAAUGGAGGCAGACGGAUGCUUGCAUCCCCACUGAGUCUGUGGGCAUUGCCAGCAAAUCAAGAGCUCAAGAGACGAAGGUUCUUGUUGAUCGAUUGCUUGCUGGAGCCAGCAGUAAGGAUCUCAUGGUCCUUCCGAUAGUCGGAAUGGGGGGGUUGGGCAAGACCACCUUAGCGCAGCUCGUUUACAAUGACCCUGAAAUUCAGAAGCAUUUCGAGUUGCGGCUCUGGGUGUGUGUCUCUAAUGAUUUUGAUGUGGAUUCCCUGGCUAACAGAAUAGUGAAAGAGAAUGGUUGUCAAGCAAGUGGAAGUUCACGAGCACUGCAUAAUCUGAAAAAGGCAGUGAGUUGGAAGAGGUACCUCCUCGUAUUGGAUGAUGUGUGGAACCGUGAUGAGCCCAGCAAGUGGGAAAGGCUGAAGUCCUACCUUCUGCAUGGUGGCUGCGGUAGCUCAGUGCUGACAACAACUCGCGAUGAAGCUGUUGCUAAACUAAUGAUGGGUACAACUGAAGGAGCCUAUAAACUUGGAAGCUUGGAUGAAGAGUCCAUAGGGAAAAUUAUCAAGGCAAGAGCAUUCGGUUCAAAACAAGAAAAGGAAUGGCCUGGUGAACUAGUUGACAUGGUUGGUGAAGUUGCCCAGAGAUGUGCUGGUUCUCCUUUAGCUGCUACGGCAUUGGGCUCUUUACUGGGUACCAAGACCAACAAGAAAGAAUGGGAGGAUGUACUAAAUGGAAGGACGAUUUGUGAUGAGGAAAAUGGGAUUUUACCAGUACUUGAACUAAGUUACCAUUGCUUGCCAUCAUACAUGCGGCAAUGCUUUGCUUUCUGUGCUAUGUUUCCCAAGGAUUAUGAGAUUGACGUGCAAAUGCUAAUCCACUUGUGGGUGGCCAAUGGUUUUAUCCCGGAGCAAUCAGGAGUGUGUCCUGAAACUAUUGGAGAAAAUACAUUCAAUGAGCUGAAGUCAAGGUCAUUUUUUCAGGUUUUGAAGAAUGUCCCAUUUGAAAAAAUAUAUUCAUAUGAAGAGGGUUAUAAGGACAUGUCUUGUUCUAGAAUUACUUGUAAGAUCCAUCACCUUAUGCAUGAUGUUGCACAGUCUGUUGUGGGAAAAGAAUGUGCUGCAAUAGCUACACACCAAAGUGAAAGAGCGGAUGUUCUUCGUUCAGCUCGUCACUUGUAUUUGUCAAUCCGUCGACCAGAAACUCUUCUGAAUGCUUCCCAAGAGAAAGGAUCUCCAGCUUUUCAAACACUGAUUUGUGACGGAUAUGUACAAGGAGAUUUGAAGAUUUUAUCAAAAUACAACUCUAUAAGAGCUUUAAAGAUCGAUUGUGGUUCAAUCCUAAGGCCGAAAUAUCUUCAUCACCUGAGGUAUCUGGAUCUCUCGAGAAGUGGUAUUAGAGCACUUCCUAAAGACAUUAGCAUCCUAUAUUAUCUGCAAACACUGAACCUUUCUUACUGUGAGUGGCUUGAACGACUUCCAAAGCAACUGAAGUAUUUGACUGGCCUCCGUCACCUCUACACUCAUGGAUGUUGGGAGUUGAAAAGCAUGCCCCCAGAGCUCGGACGCCUAACUUCCCUACAGGCGCUUACAUACUUUGUAGCAGGUGCCGACGACUCCGGUUGCAGUAAUUUGGGAGAGCUGCAGAAUUUGGACCUUGGUGGUACACUGAAGCUAAGCAAGCUAGAAAAUGUGACAGGAGCAGAUGCACAAGCAGCAGGUCUUGGAAACAAGAAAAAACUGACCGAACUGGAGUUAUUUUGGACCGAUAGUGACCAGGAAGCACAGAAUAAUAAUCAUAAAGAGGUGGUGGAAGGUCUCAAACCUCAUGAUGAGUUGAAGGCUCUGAGGAUAAAUCACUGUAGGAGCAGAACUUUUCCAACGUGGAUGAAUACUUUGAAAGGCAUGGUGAACCUGAAAUUAUUCCAUUGCAAAAAGCUCGAAGAGCUUCCUGCACUCUGGGAGCUACCAGCUCUGCAAAUUCUUAGCCUGGAGGGUUUGGAGAGUUUACAUUGUUUGUGCAGCGGUGGUACUACACCCGUCAGAUUUCCAAAACUGAAGGUGCUUACCUUGUUAGAUAUGGCAAAAUUUGAGGCAUGGUGGGAGACAUAUGGGGUACAAGGAGAAGAGCCGAUAUUUCCUGAGGUUGAGAAGCUCGUGAUUGGGAGGUGUAAAAGUUUGACUGCAUUACCAAAAGCAGCGUCGGUGAUUACAGAAUUAUCUGGUAGAGUUGACACUAAGUGCCGCUCUGCAUUUCCAGCAUUGAGGAAAAUGACGCUAGGUGAGUUGACUGUGUUUGAAAGAUGGGAGGCAGCCGAAGGAACUCCAGGAGAAGAGGUAACAUUUCCUCUGCUGGAGUAUGUGGAAAUUUAUGGCUGCCCGAAGUUGACUGAUCUACCUGAAGCACCCAAGCUAAGUGAAUUAUCCAUAACAAAAGGACUUGGUCAACAACAACAACAAAUAUCCCUAGAGGCAGCUAGCAGAUGCAUCCCAUCAUUGUCCCGUCUGGAUCUGGAAGUGUCACCCGAUGACACAGAAACAACAUUGCUGCAUGUCAAGAAGAAAUUGAAUCGUACACUCGCCCUACCACAUAUGAGGUUAGGUUGGUGCGACGUUUUUUUCUCCUCCCGCUCAAGCGCACUGGCGCUAUGGACAUGUUUUGCACAUCUAGUAGAUUUGGAGAUUUGCGAUUGCGAUGCUCUUGUCUACUGGCCAGAAAACGUGUUCCAGGUCCUGGUAUGCCUGAGGAACUUAGUGAUCUCCAGAUGCAGCAAACUGACAGGACGCACACAAGCUUCUGAUGAGCAAUCUGCUCCAGCUCCAGAACGUGGUGGACUCCUGCCAUGCCUGGAGUCUCUAAAGAUAGAAGAAUGUGAAUCUCUGGCAUCUCUACAUAUGUGGAAUUGCAGUGGCUUGUCAGAGGUUGCCAAUCUUCCUCCGUCUAUCAAGAUCUUGUACAUUUCUAACUGCGGCAAGCUUCAAUCCUUAUCAGGUGACUGGUAUACUUAUCAGCUGGAAGAACUCACGCUUCGUAGAUGCGAAAGACUGGUAUCCUUACCGGAUGGGCCUCUAGCAUACUAUUUUCUUAGAGUUCUUUGGAUUGAAAAUUGUGAUGGUAUAAAGUUGCUCCCACCAAGUCUACAGAGCCGUUUGGGUUACCUCGUGGAGAAAGAUCUAGACGCCCGUCACGAAGGUAAUCUCCAGUUUCUCUGUUUCUUUUAACAAAAUGAUCAGGAGCUCAAUUGUUGUUGCCUAAAAUGCAACUCUGUGCUUAAACAUUAUUCUGUUAGCUAUUACAAGAUGCGGUAGGAUUCAGUGAUAAAAAUUUAACGAGCGCAGUAUUUAGAACCUUUAGCCAACUGAUGUUGAUAUAUACAUUAUAUCGAGUACAGUGCACUACUAGUACCUAUAUUUAUGUGCACUUGUAUCACUUAAAUCCAUUAACUUUCAUAUAUUGCACAUUCGGGGUAUCCAAACACUUACAGCUGGAUCAAGAAGUUUAUGCACCAAUAUACACUUCACUUUAUUGUAGUCAUCCUUGUAUAUCUCCUUUUUGUCCGUACAAAGAAUUUAUAGCUAUAAGAUGACCUUUGUUGUUCACUUUUGAUACCUUGGUUGUAAACUUGUAAUUGCUAACUCGAAUCAUGUAAUAAAAUCAAUCAUCUUCCUUUAGUUGUAUUUAAAGCAGCAUGGCAUCAUGGAAUUAUUGCAGCCGAAUUCACUAGCUCCAAUUAAAGUGGCACUUGUCCUAGCGUUUAUCUGGACAUUCACUAGCUCCAUUCUAUACAGUUCAAGUAUUUGUACUUUAUAAUUUCGUGUUGAUUUCCAUGCAUAUAUUCUAACAUCAUCUAUUUUUUUGAAAGGAAAAGGCACGAGAUUGUGCCUAUUUCAUUGAUAAAGAUGGGUUACAGCCGGCUAGCCGGUUAGAGAAAAGGAUACAGGAAAAGACAGAGAGGUCCCCCCCCGGUGAGACAUCUAUGGCAGGAUCGCCGCUAAGACUUUCGCCCCUGCUGUUAUCCACAUGUCAGGAUCGCCGCUAACAUCAUCUAUGAUCAUGACCUCAUUGCCAGAACCAACGAGCAGUAAACGUUCAAUCAGGAAGCUGGUGUGCUCGAAAUAGUAGAUCAAGGCCUGACCAAAGAAAGUCAUCUCCUAGGUAUUUUUUGCAAAGAUAUCACCAAGUCAUCUCCAAUGUAUCAUAUGCGCAUUCUGAAGAUAUUCUCCAGUAAAGUCAAGGCAAAGUCCUAGAUUUUGAGCAGAAAACAAGUCCUAGAUUGCAAGCUGAAGAAUUUAGCACACAGAGCUGCGUGCUCCAGUCUUUUAUCCUUCUUCGAACCGAAGACCUUUAUUUUGAGCAGAAACGAAGUCCCAGACUGCAAGCAGAAGAAUUUAGCAUACAGAGCUGCGGGCUCCAGUUUUUUAUCCUUUUUUUUUUUCUUUUGAGCCAUGACGUGUUUGCAUUCGUGUCUGGUUCAGCCUCCAGCACGAGCGAAACACAGGCAGCACUUUCAUUUUAUGAUUUGUCUAUCCACAUACAUGAAUGACUGCCAUAGAGUAGACCAACGGUCCAACGUACUCAUGUUGUUGCUCGACAAGCUGUCCAAGCUGCUGCUUUAUAUGAACUGAAAGUGCUGAAUUUUCUCCUGCAUCCUGGAAGGCUUUGGAUGGCACGGUCUUGUGCAGAGGUCUCAUUGUUGUUAACCUGUUUCUUCAAAACUGCAUGUGCAGCAACAUUUUCUCCUGGCAGUGCUGCAAUCGAAUUGAAAAGAAUGGUGAUUCUUAUUAUAGUAUAAUUGUUAUGUAUAAGCUGGGACGCAAAGCAAUGGAUGUACAUGAGCAAGGAAGAAGCUCCGGAUGCAGGGGAUGGAACAGAACAGAGACUCUGUCAACAGCGAUGCUCCCCAAGCGAGCAGAGGCAGAGCAGCGAAGCCCGCCUCGCAAUCUCCGCUACCCCCAUCGAAGUUGCCACACGCCACCGCAUCUCCCUCCACUCCGCUCCCACUCCCCCGCCACCCCCAUCGAAGUUGCCACUGCAUCUCCCUCCACAGUCUCCGCUCCCACUCCCCCGCCACCGCCAUGGCCGCCGCCGCAGCAGCGCACUCCCUCCUGCACCCACCGGCGGCCCGCAAGGCCCCCACACCUUCUCCCUCUCCUUCCCCUUCCCCUUCCCCAUUCCUCCGCCUCCCGGCCCCCGCGCGCCCGCGCCUCCCGCUCCGCCUCCGCUCCACCUCCCCGGCCGCCGCCUCCGACCUCACCGACUUCCCCAACCCGAACGGCAUCCUCGCGCCCAUCGACGUGGACGCCGCCACGGAGGCGGAGCUUCGCGAGAACGGGUUCCGGAGCACGCGCCGAACCAAGCUCGUCUGCACCGUGGGCCCGGCCACCUCGUCGCCCGAGCAGCUCGAGGCGCUCGCCGUCGGCGGGAUGAACGUCGCCCGCCUCAACAUGUGCCACGGGGACCGGGAGUGGCACCGGGGCGUCAUCCGGGCAGUCAGGAGGCUCAACGAGGAGAAGGGCUACGCCGUCGCCGUCAUGAUGGACACCGAGGGCAGCGAGAUCCACAUGGGGGACCUCGGCGGCGCCUCAUCGGCCAAGGCGGAGGUGAGGUGCUGUGCUUGUAUGUAAGCUGCUUUCCAGUUUUGGACUUGGCGUUGCAGUUUUCAGUUUUCAGAUUGAACGCUUUCACUUGAACGUAUUCCGUGAAAUGUGCUUGUGCAAUGUGGAUGAGAGGAACGGGUGGUGGCAGUGGCAGUGGCAGUGGCAGGCAUUGCCGUUUCAUACUUCUGCAAAACCUAGCGAGUCAGGAUUUCUCCAAAAUGUUUUUUUUCCAUCUUCGAAAUGGCUCAGUUGAUUUAGAUUUUCAGCUCAUGUUUGAAAUUGCUAUAGAAGGAAAAAACAUUCAGAAUUUCAGAUUGUCAUCAAACACUGGAUUGUGAAAAUGGUAAUCAUUUUCAAGGCUUUCAAUCUUUCAAAAAAAAAUUCAAGGCUUUCAAUAUCAGUGCAACUCAAAUAAAGUGCAUGGUAAACAUCACCAUUUUUGGCUUUCUCUGCAUAUAAGACAGGGUGCUGGAGUGGUUCGACCGUGUUGAGGUCACAAUCCAACCGGUCGGGUUUUUUCGAGGUGUUGAGUUUGAGUGCUUACCCGCGUUGGCGUCCCAAUCCAACCGGGCGUGUCGAGUUGAGUGGUUACCCGCGUUGACGUCCCAAUCCAACCGGGCGAGUCUUGUUUAUUUUUCUUUUCUUUUCCUUUUCCUGCCUAUGACCUCCCAGGGCGUAGUCUUAUAUUUUCUGCUAUAUCAAUAGAAACUCGCACUAUCUUGUGCGGUUCGUUCAAAAAAAAAGUGAUAGGCAUUGAGCUUCUGAAGGUCGCUGUCUAGAUCUUACCACAAAUGGAGAGUAUUACCACUGCGCCAGGUCCGCCCUUCCAGCAGAAUCUCUUAUGCUAGGUUUAAUUUGAAUUAGCUUUAUUAGUAGAAUGCUUGGCCCAUUUAUUGGUAAAUGGUAAAAUUCAUAAAGAUUAUCCUCAUUCCCUUAAUCAAUUUUAGGCAUUUAACUUGCAGCAAAUUCGAACAAUGACAGACAUGCAGCAUAUUGUUCAUUUGUAAGACUUGGCUUGCUGGUUUACUGCUUUAUUAAAGGUUUGAAGUUGAUGUGUCUACUGGUAGCUAUUGAAUCUCUUUAUAGUUUAUUUAUAUCUUUUUUCUUUAUUAGUAUAAAGCCAUGUAGAAGUUUUCAGAAUACUGAAAUUUCUAGUGUUCAUUUUGUGGAGUCUCUCCACCUACAUCCUUUUUUGCAACUGCAUUUCAGAUCCUUCAGUUAUAGCAUGAAUAAUUUUUUUAAAAAAUAAAAUUCUAGGUAGAUUCUUGCCUGUAGUUAAUGGUAGUGUCUGAUGAUAGUUGUGUUUUAGAUAAUACAUUAAUAUUAGUAAUCCAAAGAAACUAAACUACUUCCAUGAUGCUAACUGUCAUCAGUGCUAGCUAGGGUCACUAUGCCGAAAAGGAGAUUAUAUCACCAUUCGGCUGUUUAUCUUAAGUUUUUAACCAUACAGUUAGAAGUUUGAUUGUACACCUAUUCAAUAAUCCUAGGUUUUCUUGAGCCACGUUAUUUACCCAAUGACUUCCAUUUUUCUUGGUAUGAAAACAUUUCUGAAGUAAUUAACAAAUCAUGUCACAUUUGUUGGAUUCCACAGGAUGGAGAAGUCUGGACAUUUAGUGUUAGGUCAUUUGAAUUGCCUCUACCAGAACGAACUAUUAAUGUGAAUUAUGACGGGUUUGCUGAAGGUAUGUAAGCUGACCUAUUUGUUGAUAUCUUUUGCUGUUAUUGUUCACUGCCAUAAUUUUGCAUCAAAAUCCUACACAGAUGUGAGAGUUGGUGAUGAGCUUCUUGUGGAUGGUGGAAUGGCUCGGUUUGAGGUGAUUGAGAAGUUGGGACCAGAUGUUAAGUGUCGCUGCACGGAUCCUGGUUUAUUGUUGCCACGUGCGAAUCUUACAUUCUGGCGUGAUGGCAGUAUUGUCCGUGAGAGGAAUGCUAUGCUUCCUACAAUUUCAUCAAAGGUAAAUGCACUAGCAUAAUAAAUUUCUUGCUGUAAGUACCAAAAGACCGCAAAACUUUGUUAAUCUAUGCCGCCCCUUGGUACUAGUAUUGCAAUGGAUUUACAGCUUGUUUUUUCUGUGAAUGCCAUGGUCAGUUCAAAACAACAUGUAUUAGUUCAAAGCCUUACCUUGUGCACUGCAACUCAUCUCUCGAUAGUUUUUAUCAGCUAUUUCUUAAGAAGGCUUCUACCACCUAGACUUGUUUAACUGAAAAUUUAAUCUUCUAGUAGCAGAUACUAAUAUUAUAAGUUUAUAACAAUGCUGUCCUUUUCUUGUGACAACUUGUGCAGGAUUGGCUUGACAUAGACUUUGGAAUUGCCGAAGGUGUAGAUUUCAUCGCUGUUUCAUUUGUCAAGUCAGCAGAAGUAAUUAAACAUUUGAAAAGCUACAUAGCUGCAAGGAGCCGUGGCAGGUACCAGGAGUAUAAUUCUGUACUGUUAUUUAAGUUUAUACUUUCUUGGAAAAGCCAUAUUUGACAUUAUUAAACUGAUAACGGGUGUUCCUAGAACUCUUCUGGAUGCUUAGCCACUGUUUGUGGUCGGUUCCUGGUCAGUCCCAGAUGAUCUCAUACUGGUAGGGUUUUAGUUGUAUUCUAACCAGCCUGGAAUAUAUUGGUUUCUAUGUAGUUACUAGAGAAAACAGUGAAUCAACAAGAUAUCCCCUUUCCGGUGUUCCUCCUUUUCUAAAUAAUGCUGUGGAACAACAUGAUUCAUGGAAGAAUAAUAAGAACUGUUUAAAAUUGUAUGGCUAGCAUCAACCUGGUGUCUUCUCUGUGCCAAAAAAACAACACUUGUUGUCAUCUCAGCACCUACAAUUCAUCUGCAUGCACUAGAAAAAUUGUGUGUGUGUGUGUACCUCCUGCCAAAAUUGCCAGUUUGCCAUUGUACGUCCAUCUCAUGUUUUGUGGUUAAAACUGAGUUAGUGACACAAAAAGUUACCUAGAUUAAAAUCGCCAAUCCCAAACCGCAAGUGAUAUCAAUCUUGCUACGUUAUCUUUUAUACUUCAAUUAAUUGGACCUUGCAAACAUCCAAAUCAGAAAGGAUUGCUAGUACUGUGUUUCUGAAAUGUUUCCUUCAUUUCGCUGAACUUUGUUGGCUCCUUACUCUAAUAAUGCUUUAUUUUAUAUGAUCAGUGAUAUAGCAGUCAUUGCGAAAAUCGAGAGCAUUGACUCUUUAAAGAACCUGGAGGAGAUCAUCCGAGCAUCAGAUGGUGCCAUGGUAGCCAGAGGGGAUAUGGGGGCACAGGUUCCCUUGGAGCAGGUCCCCUCAAUACAACUAAAGAUAGUUCAACUGUGCAGGCAGCUCAACAAGCCAGUCAUUGUUGCUUCUCAGCUCCUUGAAUCAAUGGUCGAGUAUCCUACUCCCACAAGGGCUGAAGUUGCCGAUGUUUCUGAAGCUGUCCGCCAGCGUGCGGAUGCUCUAAUGCUUUCUGGUGAGUCAGCAAUGGGAAGAUAUCCAGAGAAGGCUCUUAGUGUUCUGAGGAGCGUUAGCCUCAGGAUUGAGAAGUGGUGGCGGGAGGAGAAGCGACAUGAGGCACUGGAACUUCAAGGUGUUUCAUCUUCAUUCUCUGACAAGAUAUCAGAAGAAAUCUGCAACUCGGCAGCUAAAAUGGGUAAGUACUGCCACCACGUAUUCAGUGCAUACCAUAGUUAUGUUGUCAUAGCAACUGAUAUAUUCAAUUGCUUUGCUGUUUCAUCUUCCUAUUAUUGUCCAUUAUCUUGGUUACUGACAGAACAUUUAGAUUCCAUUUUCUUAGAAGCUAUGUCUAAACAAAACCGAUUUCAUCUGCAGCUAACGGCCUGGGAGCUGAUGCCGUCUUUGUUUUCACAAAGACUGGCCACAUGGCCUCCUUACUCUCACGGUGCCGUCCUGACUGCCCAGUUUUCGCCUUCACAACGUCGACGUCCGUCAGGAGGCGGCUAAACCUUCAGUGGGGCCUCAUCCCAUUCCGCCUCAGCUUCUCAGACGACAUGGAGAGCAACCUGAACCGCACCUUCUCCCUGCUAAAGGCCAGGGGCAUGAUCCAGUCCGGCGACCUGGUGAUCGCCCUCUCUGACAUGCUGCAGUCCAUCCAGGUGAUGAACGUACCCUAAGAAAGAGCCUAAUCCUCUGUGGGAUGAUCAUAUGAGAUGGAAGAUGGACCACGAACUUUAUCGGCACCUUGAAGGACAGUUCCUCGCACCGGAAUUAUUCGCUUUCACCCUGUAUUAGAUGCUAGGCAGGACUACAGAACUGUGGCAAUAAUUUGGAGCUUCGUGCCCUGUUGUAAAACUGUUAUAUUACUAUUAGCUUUAUUU